rfam:Microgenomates group bacterium RBG_19FT_COMBO_39_10 rbg_19ft_combo_scaffold_1025, whole genome shotgun sequence.
AGCUACUCUAAUUAAUGCAGAUAAUGAAUGCCUUGGCUGUUUGGGCCGAAGAAGGACGUGGCGUGACGACGAAACUCGUCGGGGAGGUGUCAAGCAACCUGUAAUCCGGCGGUCUCCGAAUGGGGAAACCCGGUCCGUUUCGACGGAUCACUUAGUGUCAAAGUGUCACUUUGGUGACAUCUAGGCGCUAGAGAGGUAAGUGCCCGAAUUGAAACAUCUUAGUAGGGCGAGGAAAAGAAAUCGAAGAGAUUCCGUUAGUAGCGGCGAGCGAAAACGGAAAAGUCUAAACCCAUCAAUUGGUGGGGGUUGGAGGACCUUAAUAUGGGAGUACUGAGGAUAGCCGAAGUAUCUGGAAUUGGUACGCCAAAGAGAGCGAAAGCCUUGUAGGCAAAAUCCAAAGUACCCCUAGAGGUAUCCUAAGUACCACGAGAGAUCAACUCCUGUGGGAAUCUGGGGCGACCACGCUCCAAGACUAAAUACCCAAACAGACCGAUAGUGAACUAGUACCGUGAGGGAAAGGUGAAAAGUCCCCCGGGAGGGGAGUGAAAUAGAACCUGAAAUUAUCUGCUGACAAACAGUCAAAGUCCGCUUUUAGCGGAUGAUGGCGUGCCUAUUGAAGAAUGAACCGGCGAGUUCUCAUUCUCUCUUAAUCUAACCCAUUUUGUGGGGAAGGUAUAGGGAAACCGAGUCUUAAAAUGGCGUCAAGAGAGCGUGGGAGACCCGAAACCGGGCGAGCUAUCCGUGGGCAGGGUGAAACCUAUCGAAAGAUGGGUGAAGGCCCGAACCAGUGUCUGGUACAAGAGGCUUGGAUGACCUGCGGAUAGGAGUAAUAUGCUAAUCGUGCUCGGUGAUAGCUGGUUCUCCCCGAAAUAUAUUUAGGUAUAGCGUUCUGAUAUAAACCAAAGAGGUAGAGCACUGAAUGGAUAUGGGGCGGAAACGUCUCAUAUUCAAUCAAACUCCGAAUUCUUUGGAGUUCAUCAGGGCAGUCAGCCCCGCCGGGCUAAGCUGGUGGAGCUAAAGGGAAACAAUCCAGACUUUCGUCUAAGGUCUCUAAAUUGAACCUAAGUGUGAAAGGAAGUGAAAUCGCUCAGACAGCUAGGAGGUUGGCUUAGAAGCAGCCAUCCUUUAAAGAAAGCGUAACAGCUCACUAGUCGAGGGGUUUUGCGCCGAAGAUUCAGCGAGGCUAAGGUUCGUACCGAAGACAGAGGUGCCAAGUUUACUUGGUGCGGUAGGGGAGCGUUGAUGUGGCGGUGAAGGCUACGGCGUAAGCCGGGUUGGAGCAACAUCAAGUGAGAAUGCCGGUAUGAGUAGCAAGAAACCGGUGAGAAUCCGGUUGGCCAAAUAUCCAAGGUUUCCGAAGCAAUGUUCGUCAACUUCGGGUUAGUCGGUCCUAAGGCGAGGCCAGAUGGCGUAGUCGAUGGACAACAGGUUGAUAUUCCUGUACCUUAACUGUUUCGUUAUUAGUUGGGGAGAGACGAGAUUUGAUAUAUCUGGCGUCAUAAUGAUUCGACGUUUAAGCUAUAAAUCAGUGGCAAUUGGUAAAUCCGUUAUCACGACGAUGAAUAGUGAUGAAAAGGCCUGAGCUUGUCGAAGGCCAAUCAGAUGGCGUUAAGUUUCCGAGAAAAGCUUCGCAAUGAGAAACAGUUGAGACCGUACCGCAAACCGACACAGGUGGAUAGGUAGAGAAUACCAAGGCCAGCGGGAGAAGGGGGUUUAAGGAACUCGGCAAAACAGCUGGGCGUAACUUAGGGAGAUGCCCUGCCACGUUUGACGUGGCCGCAGCAAAAGAUGCUUGUCGACUGUUUAUCUAAAACACAGGUCUGUGCAAAGGCGAAAGCCAAAGUAUACGGGCUGAGGCCUGCCCAGUGCUGGAAGGUUAAGGGGAAGGAUGAUUCAAUUUUUUGAUGAGUUCUGAACUGAAGCCCCGGUAAACGGCAGCAGUAACUAUAACUGUUCUACGGUAGCGAAGUCCCUUGUCGGGUAAGUUCCGACCUGCACGAAAGGUUUAACGAGCAAGCAACUGUCUUGAACCCUCACCCGGUGAAAUUGAAAUGGCUGUGAAGAUGCGGCCUACUUACUGCAGGACAAAAAGACCCCGUGGAGCUUUACUACAGCUUGGCAUUGGGUUGAAUUUAUUGAUUGUCGAGAAUAGGAGGGAGGCUUCGGCCAACAGUGAAAUACCUCUCUUUGAUAAGUUCAAUUCUAACCUAAAGAUCCUGGAAACGGAUUUGGGAACAGUGCCUGGUGGGUAGUUUGACUGGGGCGGUCGCUUGCUCAAAGGUAACGCAAGCGUACAAAGGUCGGCUUAGCGCGGAUGGAAAUCGCGCUGGACGUACAAAGGCAAAAGCCGGCUUAACUGUGAGACUGACGGGUCGAGCAGGUGCGAAAGCAGGUCUUAGUGAUCUCCCGUUUCUUCGUGGGAAGGACGGGACUUAACGGAUAAAAGCUACCCCGGGGAUAACAGAGUAGUCGCGCCCAAGAGUUCAUAUCGACGGCGCGGUUCGCUACCUCGAUGUCGGCUCAGCGCAUCCUGGAGCUGGAGAAGGUUCCAAGGGUUGGUCUGUUCGCCCAUUAAAGCGCUACGUGAGCUGGGUUCAGAACGCCGUGAGGCAGUUCGGCCUCUAUCCGCAGUAAGCGUUGGAUACUUGAGAGAAGCUGACCAUAGUACGAGAGGACCUGGUUGGAGGAAUCCCUAGUGUGCCAGUUGUUACCGUCAGGUGCAUUGCUGGGUAGCUACAUUCCUUCGGGAUAACCGCUGAAAGCAUCUAAGCGGGAAGCCCAUCUCAAGAUAAGGUAUCCUUCCGCGUUUAACGCGGGAAAGAUCGGUAGGAGAUUACUACCUUGAUAGGCGACCGGUGUAAGCACAGUAAUGUGUUUAGCUAAGUCGUACUAAUCGAUCAAAGGAGUAGUUCG